rnacentral:rRNA from 1 species
AGGACGAACGCUGGCGGCGUGCUUAACACAUGCAAGUCGAGGGGUCUCAGGGGCAACUCUGGGGCACCGGCGAACGGGUGCGUAACACGUGAGCGACCUGCCUUCUUGCGGGGGAUAGCCCGGCCCAACGGCCGGGUAAUACCGCAUAUUGCAUUGCCCGGGCAUCCGGGGAAUGGAAAACCCUUCGGGGGCGAGAAGAGGGGCUCGCGGCCUAUCAGCUAGUUGGCGGGGUAACGGCCACCAAGGCGACGACGGGUAGC